AGCAAAGUGAUGAAUGCUUUAAUCUGAAUUUCUAUGUGGAAAUUAUUAUGGCCUUCAAAGUUCUCUGAUUGCU